GUCGUAGCUCAGUUGGUAGAGCGUUACAUUGGUAAUGUAAAGGUCGGCGGUUCAAUUCCGCUCGUC
rnacentral:tRNA from 1 species